rnacentral:rRNA from 1 species
GGACUACACGGGUAUCUAAUCCUGUUCGCUCCCCACGCUUUCGCUCCUCAGCGUCAGUUACGGCCCAGAGAACUGCCUUCGCCAUCGGUGUUCCUCCUGAUAUCUGCGCAUUCCACCGCUACACCAGGAAUUCCAUUCUCCCCUACCGCACUCUAGUUUGCCCGUACCCACUGCAGGCCCGAGGUUGAGCCUCGGGUUUUCACAGCAGACGCGACAAACCGCCUACGAGCUCUUUACGCCCAAUAAUUCCGGACAACGCUUGCACCCUACGUAUUACCGCGGCUGCUGGCAC